UACGUAGGGUGCGAGCGUUGUCCGGAAUUAUUGGGCGUAAAGAGCGCGUAGGCGGACCUGCAAGUCGGGGGUGAAAGCCCGAGGCUCAACCUCGGAACUGCCUUCGAUACUGCGGGUCUCGAGUCCGGGAGAGGUGAGUGGAAUUCCUAGUGUAGAGGUGAAAUUCGUAGAUAUUAGGAAGAACACCAGUGGCGAAGGCGGCUCACUGGCCCGGUACUGACGCUGAGGCGCGAAAGCCAGGGGAGCGAAUGGG
rnacentral:rRNA from 1 species